GCUGGAUUCGCUAGUAAUCGCGCAUCAGCCAUGGCGCGGUGAAUACGUUCCCGGGCCUUGUACACACCGCCCGUCAAGCCAUGGAAGCCGGGAGUGCCUGAAGUAUGCAACCGCAAGGAGCGUCCUAAGGUAAAACCGGUGACUGGGGCUAAGUCGUAACAAGGUACC
rnacentral:rRNA from 1 species